UGCCUGGAAUUUGUCUUUAUUAAGCAUUUGUUGGUAAUUAAGGUUGAUAAGUGUUAGAAGUCUGUUUUCAUUGAGAUUCUGCUGAAUUUGCUGGUAUUUGUAUAGUAGAAGCUUGGUGAAAUUGAGAAAGUUGCAUUGAUAGUUUCAGAGGGUUAGUUAUUACUUAUUAGAAUGUGGGCGCAAUGUGUGAUCUGUGUUGCUUGGUGUAACAGAUAAGGAUCAGAUAUAAUCUAUGUAGUCUAGUGGACUGUUUUCUGGAAAUUCUGUUUAUGGUCUAAUAUGAUGUGUCCAAUUGUCAUAUUUAGUACCUUUUAUCCGAAAUUAAUGGUCACAUAUAUCAUUCUGGGAUGUUUAAAAAAGUGAUAAUCUUUUCAUAAAAUACUGAUGGAUUGUGCUUGGAUUGUAAUGUAUAUUCCCAUUUGGAAUAAAUUUCAUGCUUUUACUGUGAAAGCUUACAUUGCCUAAUUUUUCAUUACAUUUCUCCCCUGGUUUGGCAUAUUAGAACAACUCAGUGUUUGUGAUGCUAUGAACGUGUUCAUUCUAUGGGAGUUACAAGUCUUUGUUUUUCUCGAGAUGGAAGUCAGAUAUUGAGUACAUCUUUUGACAGCACUGCCAGGGGUCAUGGUAUGAAGUCUGGGAAAUCGUUGAAGGAAUUUCGUGGGCAUACUUCUAAUGUGAAUCAUGCAAUAUUUACAAAUGACGAUAGCCAUGUGAUCACAUCAUCUAGAUGUUUCAACCAAUCUUUUUUUUUUUUUUUUUUUAAUUUGAGUUAUUGUAUAUUUUUUAAUUUGUAAUGAAUGUAUACUUCAUAAUAAACAUAAAUCUUAGUAUAUAAUAUAGUUUGUAUAUUAUUUUGGAAAAUUUUCAAUUUUUUUUUUUAUUUAAAGAAAUGACUAUUUGCAAUUGGCGUGGUCCUUAGCCAGCUGCUAAUAGUCUUUUUUUUUUAUUUUUAAAAAAAGACAGUUAUUAGUAGCUCGCCUAGUACUACGCCAGCUGCAAAUAACCACUACUAGC